CCGGAAUUCAUCUACCGACAAAACGUCAGACAGGAGCAACUAAGAUACUCAUGAUAUGAUGGAUACACACUUCGGAGCGAGUACUGCUAUACAUCCGACCCUAUUGUUCGCUAAUCAAUUUACUCCAACGAGCCAGCUGCUCUCCAUGUGGGCCAGAGCAAGGAGCAGGUAAGUACUGGUCGGAUGCUAAGUCGUACAUACCAGUCGGACGUGUGGCAAUUCCCCUUCGGAGCAGUCAAAAGUUUGAAUGUCAUCAAUGGAACAAGCCAAACCAAACUCGAAUUAAUUCAUAUACGGCCAAAUAUCCAUCAAAUAGUCGCUCAAGUUUUGAUGGUUGUUGAUAUAGCGUUUGAUAAUCAUCAUUU
rnacentral:lncRNA from 1 species